rnacentral:rRNA from 1 species
AGGACGAACGCUGGCGGCGUGCUUAACACAUGCAAGUCGAACGGAAAGGCCCAGCUUGCUGGGUACUCGAGUGGCGAACGGGUGAGUAACACGUGGGUGAUCUGCCCCAAACUUCGGGAUAAGCCUGGGAAACUGGGUCUAAUACCGGAUAUGACCUGCUCCUGCAUGGGGGUUGGUGGAAAGCUUUUGCGGUUUGGGAUGGGCCCGCGGCCUAUCAGCUUGUUGGUGGGGUAAUGGCCAACCAAGGCGACGACGGGUAGCCGACCUGAGAGGGUGUUCGGCCACACUGGGACUGAGACACGGCCCAGACUCCUACGGGAGGCAGCAGUGGGGAAUAUUGCACAAUGGGCGCAAGCCUGAUGCAGCGACGCCGCGUGAGGGAUGACGGCCUUCGGGUUGUAAACCUCUUUCGCCAGGGACGAAGCGCAAGUGACGGUACCUGGAGAAGAAGCACCGGCCAACUACGUG